rnacentral:tRNA from 1 species
GCCUGGGUGGCUCAGUAGGGUGAGUGUCUGACUUCAGCUCAGAUCGUAUCUCGCGAUUCAUGAGUUUGAGUCCCAUCUCAAGUU